rnacentral:lncRNA from 1 species
CUUUAUAGCCUUUGAGUGAAGCUUCUCUGCAAAGGCCAUAUCUCAUGCUCCAAUCAAUUCAUUCCUACCCCAUUUCACAAAGUCUUCCACAGUCCAUAUUAUUUUCUCACGCAUGAAAGAACCUCCAGCUCAAGAUUUUCAGCAGCUAAAGGGAUACCAACCUUCAUACAUCAACAACACAGCAGCACAACUCAACCAGAGUUCCUAAAUUCCUUAAGGUUCCAUUCUUAAACUCUAUUUUUCCAUUUUUACAGUAUUGAAUGAGAUAUAUCUCAAGUAUUUUCAAACACACAUUCUUCCACGUUCGAAAGUUAUCCUCAAACCAAUGACAUCAGUAGAAGAAUUCACAAAAAAUUUCAGAAGCACAGAUCACAGUGACCGAACAGAGAAACACAUAUGCAUACAUUCAUUUAUAUAUAUAUACAUACUCAUAUAUGUGUUUAAGCAAACACAUCAAAUGUUUUACAAUGAUGAAAAUCGAAAAUGAAUAAAAAGAAGAAGAAAAAUAGAGUCUUGAAGCUUUGUCUUGCUUUGAUUUCGAACCUUGAUGUGGUUGUUGGCUGUAUGAGUCGAGAGGAGGGAUGCGGCGGUCGGCGGCAGCUCAUUGCUGUUGUACGUCCGGCGCACAUUAAGAGAGACGAGGUGUAAGAGUGUGGAGGAUCUAGGGCUCGGCGGCGGCGGCUCCGCCGUCGUUCUGUUCGGGGCAGGGGAGAGAAGAUUCGGAGGUAGAAAGAGAGAGGUGGAAGCGGCAGCUCGUCGCUGCUGCCUCGCCGAAGUGAAGCCGGCGGUUGCUGUGUGCCCCGGUGGCUGUGCGUGUGUCUGUAUGUGUUGUGAGAACAGAGAGAGAGGAAAUCGUGGGAGAUGGGAGGCUGACUGGUGGCUUGUCGCUGCCACUUCGCUGGGAGUCGAGAUCGAGAGAGAGAGAGUCGAUGGCUGAGGCGGCUUAUCGUCGUCUCUCCGGCGAGCUUCCGCGGCGGCGGAUUUCUGAGGGAGAAGAGGCGGAUUCUCGGUGAAAACUGAGAGAGAGGCAGCGGUCGCGGCCCUGCUGCGGUUGUCGGAGUCGAGGGAGGUGAGGCCGGCGGCGUCUGUUGUGUGUCGCGAGAAUAGAGAGAGAGAGAGAGACUUCCGGUUGUGUGUGUGCGUGUGAUCUGUGAAGAAGAAGGGUUAGGGCUCCUGGGGUUUGGGCCUGGGAGUUGGACGGGUCUUAAUUAGAUUGGGCUGAGAUUUUUUUAAAAGCUUGGGCCAUUUCCAAAUCUUAGCUGGGCCCUUAUUUAUUUAAAACUUUGGGCUGAUUUUAUUUGUUUAACAUGACUCAAUUUUAAUUAAUAGUUGAGCCUUCAAUUAUUUAAAUUUUGGGCUGCCUUCUAUUAAUUUAUUUGGGCUAUACUAAUUUAAUUAAUUUGACUAUCAUUAGUUUGAUUAAUUAUUUUAAAGAAUAAUUUGCAUAAUAAUAUUACAUUAUUGUUAUGUGCAUAUUUGAAGUAAAUUAUUAUAUAUGUUCAAGUAUGAAAUGAGAUAUGCAUUUGCAUAUGAUUUAAAUUAAUUUUCAUAAAUUCAAUUAUGAAAGAAAAUUGAGUAAGGAUAUUGUUGGUGUCCUUAACUCAAGAAUUAGUUUUUAAUUAUUUAUUUAUUAAAAUUUUGGAAACUCGGCGUGAUGAAUCAGGAAUGUUUAGUACACUCACUAAGAAGUAAGAUUAGCUUCACGAGACCUAUUAAGAAUAUAAUUUCUUGUAGGCUUUGUGGACUAAGGGGAUUAGCGUUGCUUUCCCGAGAUGAAUUUAUGUGAUUAUGAUCUUCAGCUUUUGCCUAACCAGGUGGGCUUACUUUUGAAAUAUAUAAAGUAUGAUUGAGUUAUUAAGCUCUAAAUGUUUCAAUGAAUUGCAAAUUGUUUAUUUAAUGAAAUGCAAACUGUUUAUCCAAUAAAAUGUUUAUGUGCACUCUGCUCUGUUUAAGGCUCGCCUCAACGAAUCAAUUGAGGUUCUCUUAUGGCCUAACAUGUUAUUUGAGAAUUGUGUACACCCGUUAGCUAACUCGGUGGGUUGAUCUCUAUCGGGCACUAACUAAGAGGCGUUAUAAGGGUGCUUGCUGGAUGUGUUCCGAAGCAUGUAAUGUAAGGGCCUGUCUGGGUAGUGUCCCGAGGUCAAAGUAAACUUGUCUGGGUUACGCCAUCAGUUCAAGUAAAUGGGAUAAAUGAAUCCGUCGGUGGCUAAAAGGUCCGGGAUCACAAUGAGUAACAGAAAUGGAGUGUGACAUCUGCGCACAAAUGAAAAAUUAUUUUAACGUGCUUAGAAGUUCUUUCAAUUUAAAACCUUCUAAGUUAUGUCAAUUAUGAUUGGAUAAACAGUCUUUACGAAAAUAUGAAAUGUUUCAGAAAAUGCAUGCCCACUGAGUACAUUAGUACUUAGCCCAAAAAUACUUUCAAAUGUUUUCAGGUUGGCUGGCUGGUGCUGACGGGACUGAGCGGAGGCUAGGGUUCAACUUUCUAUUAAGACUUUCGCUGUAGCACUAGAUAAUAUUUUGUCUUUUGUUUUCUCAACUUAAGACUUUCAUGUUAGAUUUAGAAUGACAUCUCCCAUCGAGCUUAAACACUUAACUCUUAGUUUUAUCUUAAUGAAUGUUGGUUAUCAGAAACACGAAACAAAUCUUGUGUUCCAAAGGGGCCUAGCCCGACUUGUUAUCUUAUUAUUCGGGUUCAAUAAGGAUUUCUCCUUAUGUUAUUUCUAUAAAAUGGUUGCACCUCAAUUGUAUUUAUUCAUUCAAGAAUUGGGGUGUGACAGAGAGUAAUAUUCCUUCGAGGCGCUUCCACAUUAAUGAGCACACCAUGCGCUUCCUUCAAC